rnacentral:lncRNA from 1 species
GAAAACUGAGAUAUGAUGAAAAGAUUCCUGGAAUUUUGGCCUAAGGAGACUUUCUUCAUCUUCUCUCGACAUUUACCUACUGGAUGGAACAUACUUGGCCUUUCAGAGAGUCUCCAAAUGUCACCUCCUCUAUGAUGUCUUCUUUCUGCAACCCCAGGCAAAUUUGCUUAGUUGGCUAGGACCUUUAAAU